AUAUCUCUUAUGGUUUGGGCCUGAGCCUUUGCUCAGGAGCAGCCUGCCAGAAGUUUGACUUGCACAGACAAUACUUUGUGGGUGGUGACUUCACUGGAGAUUGAGAGCCAAGAACUGGGGAAAUGUCCUGUGUGCCAUAUCUGUGGUGAUUAGAAAAACAUUACUGGAUCCACACUUUUAAAGUUACAGCAGAUGUGCUUAUUUUGUGGGAACCAUGCAGUGGAAGAAAGCUGUUCUCUGGUCCUUAAGCCCCAGCUUAGCUAAUCAUAAAGAAGGUAAAUCCUGAUGUUCUGCUUGGGUGAACCUACUUCAUAACUAUAAAUGUACUGUGGUCAGAGUUUUCAGACCUGAUACCAGCUAUUUUUGGGAAGCUACAACAAUAAAAUGCAUCAGUGAGCCAUGGAAAGGAAAGGAAGGAGCUGGUUCCACAUAAGAAAACGUCAAAGGUGGAAAACAGUGAAAUAUCUGAUAUCAAAACAUGGAUUUGUCACACAAUAGAAAUGAGAGAAAUUACAGGAGGUGAAAAUUUUUUGGUAAUGCCCUGUGAUGCCAAAAUAACUAUGUAUGAUGGAUGAGUAAGGAGUAUGUUCAUGUUUGUAUUCUGUGUUUUCUGUAUCUGGAGUACCCUUUUCUUUAGAAUUAUGGGUGUACAAAAUCCAGGCUACCAGCAACAGAAUGUCUGACGAGUUGCACACUUGAUUCACUACUACAUGACAACAAGCCGAAGAGCAAAUCAGUAAUGCUUAAAGUGCUCCUUAAGGUUACCAGGAAUAGUACCAGACUACAGCUUAUUUCUGAUGGGAUUUUUAGAUGUUAUCAUGGCACAGGUAUCAGAAAUCUUAAAAACAAAAUUAUCAGUGAAGAUUAUUCUGUGAAACACAAAGGUAUUUUACCUUCUUAUUAAAGCAAAAUUAAAGUUUUUGUUCUUUUCUUUUUUUUUCUUUUUUUUUUUCUUUUAGCCUGCAAAUAACUUCAUACAUGUUCAAAGUCAAUUAUUAGAAAGUAUACAAGAUAACCACUCUAAAUACCAUUCAGAUCGCAUAGGAUAUUCUGGCACUAAAGCUGUAAAAACUUGUACAAGAAGGUGAAAAUACACAAGAUAAAAUAUUUCAAUCUUAAUUAAUUAAUAAAUUGAUAAAUUAAUAUUAAGAACAGUCUUUCUCUGUCUGACACAUGACUCCACUCUUACAUCUCACAUCCUUUCUGUAAAAACUUCAAAGUAAAAAGAUAUCAGACUUGG